UAUAUACAGACUUAAACGUGACUGAACUUGUGAAAAAUGGAAUUUCAUAUCUUUAGUGGGACACGUUUUUGUCGCAAGGUGCAGCUUAUCUGAAUUUCAUAUAAUUAAUGACACAAAUAUAACAUUAAGUCAGAAUAAAUGUUUUGCAAGACAGUGUUUAUUUGAAUUUCGACAGUGGCACAGUCUAUGUUGCAAACUGUCGAAAGGGACACUGUAUGAAAUCUACACAAAACAGCAAUGGCACUGCCUGUAAAAGCGAUUGUGUUCCGGUAAUGUACCGAAUAGGCAGCGCACUCGCUGCUCGACCGCAUGUACGCAAGCAUCAUCUGGUGACCUCCAUUGCAAAUCCAGCAAUCUACAACUCACAGAGGAAAGGAGGCCAUGGUGGGGGAUCUUGCCUUUUGAUUAAGGCAGACGAUCCUAAAAAGACCCAAGCCUGUCGUGUAAGAUCAACUCAUGGAAGGGCUUAAGAAAGAUCAUGUUUACAACACAAAAGCCUCACUUCGAGUAAAUUUAAACAAGACUGUUCAAAUGCAUUAUGGUUAUAUACGUUGUACUUAUUUAUUGUGUACUUGCUAUUAAAUUUCAAUCAAAAAAUGUACAUAAUGUGUGCAUUUAUUGCAAUAAUGUUAUGUCAUAUUGAGUGAAUAUGUCUUGAUGAGAGAUUUAUUUGAAUAUACGUAUAUUUUUAAGAAUAUCGGAACAGAUUACGUCUAACGAGAUACCUGUUUUUUAUGUUUAUAUAUUUCUUGUUGUAAUCACUCCCUCUUAACGAGCACAGUGUGAUAUGGUCCUUUUUUAUGGCUGAGCGCAUACAUAAGAAAAACAGAUGAUUGCAAUGUGAACAUCCACUAGUAUCACACAUAUACCAAGAGGACCUAAGAACACUAGUAAGGAUAUAAUACUAUUUCCAGUGUAGCUUCGUCAGACCUUCCCCAGCUACCUUGAUGAGCUGUUGUAAAAACCAUUAUACAUAUUAUGAGGGCGGUCCAAUGUCCACACCCUUUAAAGUUCAAACGGCAUGCUGUUUAAAGGCGUUUUGUUUGUGAAGUAGUCCAGAACAUACGUUACUGAAAAUAUAUCUUAUGGUUUAUUUUGUAUGUGUAAAUUUGCCAAUAUUGUGUCUACUCUAAUAAACUCAUUGGAAAUAUAUUGACAAUUGUGCAUGUG